GGAUCAUGUAAAAACAAGUCUAAGGCUGAAAACUAAAAACAAGCAAUCUAGACCAUUAAUUCUAAUCUGACGGAGGAGAUUAAUUUCGUGUAUUAGACAUACACUCCCUUACUUCUUUCUCAUUCACGCAUCUUCUCUCUAAAAUUUCUCUGCAUUCAUCUUCAGAUCAUCUCUUCGUUAUCGUCAAGAUGAUGCUUUCUCGAAUCGGACGUUCUAUCUCCAGAUCUUCUCGCUCUUCUCUCUUCAAUGCUACCCUUGGUUGUGAGGGAUAUGGAGCUAGAAUUGCUAAUCAAUCGGGCGGAAUCGCGCCACGCAGCAGUGAGCAAGGGCUAGGGUUUCUCAAUGCUUAUUUUUCAUCAAUUGGUGCUGGAACUGGAAAGCAGACAUAAGGAGGAGUAUCGUUGGAGUAAUAUUAAAAAAUCUGAUUUUAAAUCACCAGGUACCUCCUUUGUACUGUUGGAGUAACGAUCAGAUAUAAUCUGAAUUCGUGAAGCAUAGUUUUUUGAGGAACUUGAAAACUGUUGGUAAUACAACCUAGAAAAAUGGAAGGAAUAUUAUUGAGGAGAUAGAGAAAUAGUAUAUUGUGUAGCAAAGAAUUGAUUGGCAAAAUUAAUAUAGUAUAACCAAUUUAAACUGUAAUGGAAGUGAAAAUAUAUAGCAAAAUUUUACCUAAAACGCUAAACCAUGUGCAAGACAAGUAGCAUUUAUAAAGAAAUGAGAUUAUUUGGGUCUUGAAAGCUAGAACGGUGUCUUAUAAAAUAAGUUGCUCAGGUUAUACGAGGCUUAGUAGCAGAUUAGCAUUGAAAGCUUUGUUAACUUAUGUUAUAAAAGUUCUUUGAAACUUUCAAAUGUCAUUAUGCCAGAGCAAGUUACUAGUGGUAAUGACAAGUUGUAUGAGGCUCCGGAGAUUUUUCCUGAAAGUGACUGUAUGAACCCUGAAGUGUCUGCUUUUAGACCCACAACUUUGGAAGGGCGUUGGUGACACUUAGCACCAUAUCAUUUUCUGUCGAUAGGCCUACAUGCUGUUAUGGAUUUUAUGUGUGGUAUCAAAUGUUGAAGAAGCAAGAUAUGAAACUGUCAGUGACAGUAAAUCAAUACACUCAUCAACAUGAAAUUCCUGUUGACGGUGUUGAUCCAUCAACUUCUGUUGCACUGUCUGUUUUCCAAAGGUCUCUUAAGAAGGGGGUAGUUUAGAGUAAUUUUGAGCUUGGUCUUGAAUAUGGCAUGUACACAAAUAGUUCUUGUGAUGGAGGAUAAAACUCAGCUCACCACUUUGUCGCAAGAUAAUCUUCUUACUGAUGUUGAGCUUCACCUGAUAUUACCUCUUACUUUGAUAUUUAAUUAUACUGUGUUUGUUGCUUUCGUUCUUUUGAAAUUUAGUUUAGCUGAUCUGAAGUUGUUCUGCUUAGGUGUUUCCUUCUUCGUUGAGUGUCAAGGCUGCCAUAGGUAAUCUGAGUAUACAUGAUGACAAUAU